rnacentral:rRNA from 1 species
AGAGUUUGAUCCUGGCUCAGGAUGAACGCUAGCUACAGGCUCAACACAUGCAAGUCGAGGGGCAGCAUGGUCUUAGCUUGCUAAGGCCGAUGGCGACCGGCGCACGGGUGAGUAACACGUAUCCAACCUGCCGUCUACUCUUGGACAGCCUUCUGAAAGGAAGAUUAAUACAAGAUGGCAUCAUGAGUCCGCAUGUUCACAUGAUUAAAGGUAUUCCGGUAGACGAUGGGGAUGCGUUCCAUUAGAUAGUAGGCGGGGUAACGGCCCACCUAGUCUUCGAUGGAUAGGGGUUCUGAGAGGAAGGUCCCCCACAUUGGAACUGAGACACGGUCCAAACUCCUACGGGAGGCAGCAGUGAGGAAUAUUGGUCAAUGGGCGAGAGCCUGAACCAGCCAAGUAGCGUGAAGGAUGACUGCCCUAUGGGUUGUAAACUUCUUUUAUAAAGGAAUAAAGUCGGGUAUGGAUACCCGUUUGCAUGUACUUUAUGAAUAAGGAUCGGCUAACUCCGUGCCAGCAGCCGCGGUAAUACGGAGGAUCCGAGCGUUAUCCGGAUUUAUUGGGUUUAAAGGGAGCGUAGAUGGAUGUUUAAGUCAGUUGUGAAAGUUUGCGGCUCAACCGUAAAAUUGCAGUUGAUACUGGAUAUCUUGAGUGCAGUUGAGGCAGGCGGAAUUCGUGGUGUAGCGGUGAAAUGCUUAGAUAUCACGAAGAACUCCGAUUGCGAAGGCAGCCUGCUAAGCUGCAACUGACAUUGAGGCUCGAAAGUGUGGGUAUCAAACAGGAUUAGAUACCCUGGUAGUCCACACGGUAAACGAUGAAUACUCGCUGUUUGCGAUAUACUGCAAGCGGCCAAGCGAAAGCGUUAAGUAUUCCACCUGGGGAGUACGCCGGCAACGGUGAAACUCAAAGGAAUUGACGGGGGCCCGCACAAGCGGAGGAACAUGUGGUUUAAUUCGAUGAUACGCGAGGAACCUUACCCGGGCUUAAAUUGCAGAUGAAUUACGGUGAAAGCCGUAAGCCGCAAGGCAUCUGUGAAGGUGCUGCAUGGUUGUCGUCAGCUCGUGCCGUGAGGUGUCGGCUUAAGUGCCAUAACGAGCGCAACCCUUGUUGUCAGUUACUAACAGGUUCUGCUGAGGACUCUGACAAGACUGCCAUCGUAAGAUGUGAGGAAGGUGGGGAUGACGUCAAAUCAGCACGGCCCUUACGUCCGGGGCUACACACGUGUUACAAUGGGGGGUACAGAGGGCCGCUACCACGCGAGUGGAUGCCAAUCCCAAAAACCUCUCUCAGUUCGGACUGGAGUCUGCAACCCGACUCCACGAAGCUGGAUUCGCUAGUAAUCGCGCAUCAGCCACGGCGCGGUGAAUACGUUCCCGGGCCUUGUACACACCGCCCGUCAAGCCAUGGGAGCCGGGGGUACCUGAAGUGCGUAACCGCGAGGAGCGCCCUAGGGUAAAACUGGUGACUGGGGCUAAGUCGUAACAAGGUAACCG